rnacentral:rRNA from 1 species
AUCCUACGGGAGCAGCAGUGGGGAAUAUUGCACAAUGGGGGAAACCCUGAUGCAGCGAUGCCGCGUGGAGGAAGAAGGUUUUCGGAUUGUAAACUCCUUUUAUCAGGGACGAUAAUGACGGUACCUGAAGAAAAAGCUCCGGCUAACUACGUGCCAGCAGCCGCGGUAAUACGUAGGGGGCAAGCGUUAUCCGGAUUCACUGGGCGUAAAGGGAGCGCAGGCGGCAUGGCAAGUCUGAUGUGAAAACCCGGGGCCCAACCCCGGGAGUGCAGUGGAAACUGCCAGGCUGGAGUGUCGGCGGGGUA